AAGGGCUGCAAAACCGCGAGGUUAAGCGAAUCCCAUAAAACCAUUCUCAGUUCGGAUUGUAGGCUGCAACUCGCCUACAUGAAGCCGGAAUCGCUAGUAAUCGCGGAUCAGCAUGCCGCGGUGAAUACGUUCCCGGGCCUUGUACACACCGCCCGUCACACCACGAGAGUUUGUAACACCCGAAGUCGGUGGGGUAACCGUAAGGAGCCAGCCGCCUAAGGUGGGACAGAUGAUUGGGGUGAAGUCGUAACAAGGUAGCCGUAUCGGAAGGUGCGGCUGGAUCACCUCCUUUCUAAGGA
rnacentral:rRNA from 1 species